rnacentral:snRNA from 1 species
UUCAUUUUCAAAUGAGAUUUAUUUUAAUGUUAAAAGAUGGCCCCUGCACAAGGAUGACACACAAAUUCGUGAAGCGUUCCAUAUUUUU